rnacentral:piRNA from 1 species
UGCAGUAAAAGCUAUGUUGCGGGUGUUGG